rnacentral:tRNA from 1 species
GGGCCGUUAGCUCAGAUGGUAGAGCAGCUGACUCUUAAUCAGCGGGCCGCAGGUUCGAUCCCUGCACGGCCCACCA